rnacentral:tRNA from 1 species
GGGGAAUUAGCUCAAAUGGUAGGCGCUCGCUUAGCAUCACGAGAGGUAGUGGGAUCGAUUCCCCAUUCUCCA